UAGAGUUUGAUCCUGGCUCACAUUGAACGCUGGCGGCAUGCUUUACACAUGCAAGUCGAACGGCAGCGCGGGGCAACCUGGCGGCGAGUGGCGAACGGGUGAGUAAUAUNNNNNAACGUACCCAGAAGUGGGGGAUAACGUAGCGAAAGUUACGCUAAUACCGCAUACGAUCUACGGAUGAAAGUGGGGGACCUUCGGGCCUCAUGCUUUUGGAGCGGCCGAUAUCUGAUUAGCUAGUUGGUGAGGUAAAGGCUCACCAAGGCGACGAUCAGUAGCUGGUCUGAGAGGACGACCAGCCACACUGGGACUGAGACACGGCCCAGACUCCUACGGGAGGCAGCAGUGGGGAAUUUUGGACAAUGGGCGCAAGCCUGAUCCAGCAAUGCCGCGUGAGUGAAGAAGGCCUUCGGGUUGUAAAGCUCUUUUGUCAGGGAAGAAACGGUCUAGGCUAAUAUCCUGGGCUAAUGACGGUACCUGAAGAAUAAGCACCGGCUAACUACGUGCCAGCAGCCGCGGUAAUACGUAGGGUGCAAGCGUUAAUCGGAAUUACUGGGCGUAAAGCGUGCGCAGGCGGUUUUGUAAGUCUGUCGUGAAAGCCCCGGGCUUAACCUGGGAAUUGCGAUGGAGACUGCAAGGCUUGAAUCUGGCAGAGGGGGGUANNNUUCCACGUGUAGNNNUGAAAUGCGUAGAGAUGUG
rnacentral:rRNA from 1 species